AGCACAAAUGAUGAACAAAGGGACUUAAUACUGAGACCUGAUGUUACACUGUGCUAUGCUGAUGUGC